GAUGAACGCUAGCGGCAGGCCUAAUACAUGCAAGACGAACGGUAAGUUGAGUAGCAAUACUUAGCCAAGAGUGUCGUACGGGUGCGUAACACGUAUGCAACCUACCCUAUACAGGAGGAUAGCCUAGGGAAACCUGGAUUAACCCUUCAUAGUAUUAUUGGAUGGCAUCAUUUGAUAAUUAAAACUGAGGUGGUAUAGGAUGGGCAUGCGUCUGAUUAGUUAGUUGGCGGGGUAAUGGCCCACCAAGACGAUGAUCAGUAGGGGUUCUGAGAGGAAGAUCCCCCACACUGGCACUGAGAUACGGGCCAGACUCCUACGGGAGGCAGCAGUAGGGAAUAUUGGUCAAUGGAUGCAAGUCUGAACCAGCCAUGCCGCGUGCAGGAAGAAGGCCCUUCUGGGUUGUAAACUGCUUUUGCCAGGGGGAUAAAAUUUCCAUGCGUGGAAAACUGAAGGUACCUGGUGAAUAAGCCACGGCUAACUACGUGCCAGCAGCCGCGGUAAU
rnacentral:rRNA from 1 species